rnacentral:rRNA from 1 species
GAGUUUGAUCUGGCUCAGAACGAACGCUGGCGGCAGGCUUAACACAUGCAAGUCGAACGAAGCCUUCGGGCUUAGUGGCGGACGGGUGAGUAACGCGUGGGAACGUGCCCUUCUCUACGGAACAGUCCCGGGAAACUGGGUUUAAUACCGUAUACGCCCUUUUGGGGAAAGAUUUAUCGGAGAAGGAUCGGCCCGCGUUGGAUUAGGUAGUUGGUGGGGUAAUGGCCUACCAAGCCCGCGAUCCAUAGCUGGUUUGAGAGGAUGAUCAGCCACACUGGGACUGAGACACGGCCCAGACUCCUACGGGAGGCAGCAGUGGGGAAUCUUAGACAAUGGGGGAAACCCUGAUCUAGCCAUGCCGCGUGAGCGAUGAAGGCCUUAGGGUUGUAAAGCUCUUUCGCUGGGGAAGAUAAUGACGGUACCCAGUAAAGAAGCCCCGGCUAACUCCGUGCCAGCAGCCGCGGUAAUACGGAGGGGGCUAGCGUUGUUCGGAAUUACUGGGCGUAAAGCGCGCGUAGGCGGAUUGGAAAGUUGGGGGUGAAAUCCCGGGGCUCAACCCCGGAACUGCCUCCAAAACUAUCAGUCUUGAGUUCGAGAGAGGUGAGUGGAAUUGCGAGUGUAGAGGUGAAAUUCGUAGAUAUUCGCAGGAACACCAGUGGCGAAGGCGGCUCACUGGCUCGAUACUGACGCUGAGGUGCGAAAGUGUGGGGAGCAAACAGGAUUAGAUACCCUGGUAGUCCACACCGUAAACGAUGAAUGCCAGUCGUCGGCAAGCAUGCUUGUCGGUGACACACCUAACGGAUUAAGCAUUCCGCCUGGGGAGUACGGUCGCAAGAUUAAAACUCAAAGGAAUUGACGG